UACGGGGGGAGCAAGCGUUGUUCGGAUUUACUGGGCGUAAAGGGCGCGUAGGCGGGCCUCCAAGUCCGGGGUGAAAUCCUCCCGCCCAACGGGAGAAGAGCCUCGGAGACUGGGGGCCUCGAGGGAGGUAGGGGCGUGCGGAACUAUGGGUGGAGCGGUGAAAUGCAUUGAUAUCCAUAGGAACUCCGGUGGCGAAGGCGGCACGCUGGACCUCUUCUGACGCUGAGGCGCGAAAGCCAGGGGAGCAAACGGG
rnacentral:rRNA from 1 species